rnacentral:rRNA from 1 species
UACGUAGGGUGCAAGCGUUGUCCGGAAUUAUUGGGCGUAAAGAGCUCGUAGGCGGUCUGUCGCGUCUGCUGUGAAAACUCGGGGCUUAACCCCGGGCCUGCAGUGGGUACGGGCGGACUGGAGUUCGGCAGGGGAGACUGGAAUUCCUGGUGUAGCGGUGAAAUGCGCAGAUAUCAGGAGGAACACCGGUGGCGAAGGCGGAUCUCUGGGCCUUGCCUGACGCUGAGGCGCGAAAGCUAGGGGAGCGAACAGG